GAUGAACGCUGGCGGCGUGCUUAACACAUGCAAGUCGAACGGAAAGGCCCAAGCUUGCUUGGGUACUCGAGUGGCGAACGGGUGAGUAACACGUGGGUGAUCUGCCCUGCACUUCGGGAUAAGCCUGGGAAACUGGGUCUAAUACCGGAUAGGACGAUGGUUUGGAUGCCAUUGUGGAAAGUUUUUUCGGUGUGGGAUGAGCUCGCGGCCUAUCAGCUUGUUGGUGGGGUAGUGGCCUACCAAGGCGUCGACGGGUAGCCGGCCUGAGAGGGUGUACGGCCACAUUGGGACUGAGAGACGGCCCAGACUCCUACGGGAGGCAGCAGUGGGGAAUAUUGCACAAUGGGCGCGAGCCUGAUGCAGCGAGGCCGCGUGGGGGAUGACGGCCUUCGGGUUGUAAACUCCUUUCGCUAGGGACGAAGCGUUUUUGUGACGGUACCUGGAGAAGAAGCACCGGCUAACUACGUG
rnacentral:rRNA from 1 species